AUAUGUAAACCUAUAAUCACCUUUCCGCUGUCUGAUUUCGGCGAUAGAAUCAAAAAUUCAUAUUCCCUAGACAACAUCUAAUUUCCCCAUUAAAAUUGAUGAGUUCCCCGUUCCAGAACAGCAAUAAAUGAACUGGUCUAUCAGGUGAAUUAUACACACGUGCCAAAACGAGGCGUGUCCAUAUAGACAUUUCAAUUUAAAAACCGAAUAUGGCGAUCGCUAACGAGCCAUUGUUCUGCGGCUUUAUGGGCAAUUAACAACAUUUUCCCCCGCUGCUGGUGCAACCGAAAAAUAAUAGUUGGUGACCCAAGAUGGAGAGGAAAACCCACCCAAAGAGCAAGACAAUGAACAUCCAAAAUAGAUCUCCACUGAGGCGAAACAAAAGCCAAUAACUUUAUAGAACCGCAACCAAAAAAUACAAAAAAAUACAAAACGCAAACUGUGAGAGCGCGGGAGGCGUUUUACAAAAAAAGCUUAAAAAUGAAGGAAAAAGUAAAGCAUUUAAAAGAAAUCAAGAGAUGUAGAUGACGAUGAUGAUGAUGGUCUGAGGUUGAGGCUGAAUCCGAAUCCGAAUCGGUAUCUGAACCCAACAGAAGCUUGCGGCAAUUGCGUUUCCUCUUUGGCCACACGUUCUGGACAAUUAAAGCCCCAGCCGAGCUCCGAAUCUGAAUCGAGCCAAGUUAAGACCGCGACCACGACCGAAAACCGAAAACAGAAAACCAAAAAACCGGAUUCCAAGCCGAGAAGGAGCGAAAAAGACGGCGAGAGCGACCACUGGCCACUGGCACUGGCUACAAGUGAACUGGUUUACAAAGAAAAGAAACAGAAAUGGAAGAAACAUGCGAAAAAUCCCGAUCUUUAAAACCGAACCCUUAAAUACCCUUGGCAAAAUAAGUCAAAAAUACGAUAGAUAGAUCAAACUAGAGUAGACUCUAGACUUGUUGAAGAAAAUACUAGAAUAAAUGAGAAGUUUGUAAACUAAAUUUCCUAAUAUUGAUCUCGCUUUAAAAUAUGUUUUUAAAACCUAACGAGAUGCUAAAAAAUUUUGCAAUAGGAAAGAUUGGUAGAAAUGUAACGUUAUUACCACUGAUUAAUAUUUUUAAAUAAUAUUAUAAAAAUGUUCUAUACCAUUUUCAAUCGAAGUACCCUUACCGAGAGCACACAUAAGAGACCCCCAGAAUUCCAAGCGAAGGUUUUUCGAGUCCGGCUCGAACCGUCCAACUCGAACUGAGCGCCACAGCAACAACAAUGGGGCAAGCGGGUGGUUCAGGAUGGUGGGGUAUGGGGGACGUACUCCACCGUGGACUGUGCGGCACCACACUGAGUUCAGUGGCAAUGACAGUGGCACAUGCAGUUGUAGUGGAAGCCGCUUGUCGGUCGACAGUCCACCAACCGCCAACGUUGUUGCGCUCUCUUUCGCGUUUCUCGCCCCGUCUCUUUCUGUUUGUGGAGCAGGUUUUGAGAUAUAUCUGCUCUCUUUCUCUCUCCUUCUCUGCCUGCGUACUCGUUAUAUUUUUGUACUCGCUGCCUUUUUGGCCAACGCAAAAAAUACCAAAAUAAAAAAAUAAUAAAAGUAAUUAGCUAGCCCUA